CCUACGGGCGGCGGCAGUGGGGAAUAUUGCACAAUGGGGGAAACCCUGAUGCAGCGACGCCGCGUGAGUGAAGAAGUAUCUCGGUACGUAAAGCUCUAUCAGCAGGGAAGAAAAUGACGGUACCUGACUAAGAAGCCCCGGCCAACUACGUGCCAGCAGCCGCGGUAAUACGUAGGGGGCAAGCGUUAUCCGGAUUUACUGGGUGUAAAGGGAGCGUAGACGGCAGCGCAAGUCCGGGGUGAAAUCCCAUGGCUUAACCGUGGAACUGCUUUGGAAACUGUGGAGCUAGAGUGCAGGAGGGGUAAGCGGAAUUCCUAGUGUAGCGGUGAAAUGCGUAGAUAUUAGGAGGAACACCAGUGGCGAAGGCGGCUUACUGGACUGUAACUGACGUUGAGGCUCGAAAGCGUGGGGAGCAAACAGGAUUAGAUACCCUAGUAGUC
rnacentral:rRNA from 1 species